rnacentral:lncRNA from 1 species
CCCCCCGCAGCUACCACCAAAUCGGCACGCAUCUUCACCCUCGCGCCCUUCUCCUCCCUCGCCUCGCUCACCCAUCACCUCGCUCGCAGCCGAGCUGAUCCGGCCGCGGGACGGGGAGUUGAGGCCCAGCGUGGCUACGCCGCAGCCCCCUUUCCCUCGCUCCCUCGCUGGGAGCUAACCCUAGCCGCUGCCGCCGACGCCGCGAGCGCGUUUGCUGGGGGUCUACUUGAUCGCGAUUCCAGCCAAGAGCAACUACUUGGAGCUGCUUUCAUGGGAAACAUUGUUAACACUGUAAACAAGUUCUCGGGCAACAAUGCUGAUGGUGUUCCCUUCCGGAGGUGCUCUUACUUGCCAAAUAGUACUUGUGACGAGAAUGGUAGUUCAGUGACCAGAAAAUCUGCUUCUGCUACAAAUGGCAGUAUUAAUGGACAUGGUACCUUGUAUAAGGAUGUGGGUAAUGAGGAAAUGCACUUGGCUACAGACAGUACUUCUAAACCAGGGUGUCGUGAAAGAGAAACUCGGAAUGUAAUUGUCCACACCGACUCAAGACAAAAUGGGGAUGCUACUAAUUCUGACAAUGCUGUUUUAAUUUGCAAUCAGACGGCUGGUCAUAUGUCCUAUGGUUUGGAUGGGGAAAGUAAUAGAAGUUCUGGAAGCUUAGCGGCUGUGGUUUCUGAAGUUCUUGUUAGUAAAGCACCACUUGAAAAGAGAUGUCGUACUAACCUUCAGGAAACUGGAGAUUUGGAAAAUACUCCAAAUGCACAUGUGAGCAAAAGGUCGAGACUGCACAGGGUUUCUCCUGCAAACAGUCUGUUUGAUCGUGAGGCUUGUGAUGACUUAAUUGAUAGUGCUCAUAAUUUAGAUUGUAGUCGCACUCCUAAUGCUUCAGUGCAUGAUGAAACGGUACCAAAUGAAGAUAAAACACCUUGUACUUCUUUAGAUGUGAGAGGUUGUGAAGGUACCCCUAGAGCUUCCUUGAAGAGACGAGUGAUUGAACCUCCCCUGACUCGUACUAAGGCUAAGGGUAAGGCUUUAUCUCUUGCUACACCUGAAUCUCUCAAGAGAAGCACUAGAUCAGGUCGACUGAUAGGCCUUAUUCGGAGCCGCCUCCUAAGAGGAGGAAAACGCCUCGGUGUUCGUCCCCAGGACACAGAAGAUUGCUGCCAUUCUAAUGGUGAACAUAUGGUGAAAAAGAAAUUCUGACACUGUCCACUGGCAUGAUGAUAUGGUGUCCAACCCGUUGUGCAUCUGUGUGAAAGCUUUUUGUCCUUUUAACCAGCUAAGUAGAGCUAGCUUCUGUAAAAUGUAUCGUGGGUACACCAUGAUGUAUGUUUCUUUGCUAGGCUUCGAAAUGGAUGCUUGCUAAAAUAUGGCGUAGGUAUUUUGCAUACAAUAGAUGGUGUUGACACCCUGUGAACUUUGUAAGGUCACUUCCAGUUGAGAAACUAUCCUUCGUGUACCCAUAUUUCGUGCAAUGUCAUGCUGGGUUUACCUU